UGGCUGUCCAGAGAAGCUGUUGCUUGGAAGUGUUCAAGAUGGGCUGGAUAGAUCUUGUAGGGGGUAGUGGAAGAUGUCCCUGCCCAUGGCAGGUACACAAUCAAGAUGGGCUUUAGGGUCCCUUCCAACCCAAACUGGGAUCCAUGAUUUUAGGAGACACAUUUUUUUGGAGAACGCCUCACUUGACCAUAACCUGGUGCUCUUGGUCUUUUCAUUGCCAACUCACAGAAGCUGAACUCCUAAAAAUGCUACAUUUUCUGCCUAGAAAAAUUUAUGUACAGUUACAGCAUGUGCUGAAAAUGAAGGACAACACGAGCAGAGAAGCAAACCAAAGCAGCUGGUGGAUCUGAGGUGGCACCCAAGGUCUCAGGCUGGAAUGUGCUGGCAGCCUGGCUGCUGUUGAACCUCCCAGUCUCAUUUUGCUUGGUCUGAAUCCUGGGAUGUUGGAGUUUUGCCUUUGCCAGUUGAGGAGCACCUCAGCCUUCUCUGCAUCACAGCUUUUGGCUCAUUCCCAGCUGGUGGCUGCUGUGAAUAUUCCACACUCCAUGGCUGGCAGGUGCAAAAUGUUUUACAUCCACUCUGCUUCCACUGCCUUAGUGGUAAAUGCAGUUUCUGGUCCCUAUGGAAGCAGAAGCAACUGUCUACACAGUGAAAACUGUCAUGAAUCAAGACUUUGGUAACAAAAAAUCUCCUCACUUCACCUCUCCUGGAGCACACUCAGACCAGAUAUAAGGUACCAAUAUAAAGCACCAACACAAAAAUCUCUGUGCCAAAAGAAACUCCCCACACAGAACCUCUUUUUGUGGGGCAAAAUCCUCACUGACCCCCCUGCCCAAAAGAGAACCAGGAAUUCUGUGCAGCCCCUGAUUUCUGGCUGCACAGAAUUCCCUCUGGGAAGCACGAACCAAACCUCUCCAGAACAGCCCGUCAGUGCAUGGCUCUGUAUCCAAUGCCUCUCCAGCCCUUUCAUUUCUGUAGCAUAAUGAACCUACAGAAGAUUCUGAGUUUUCCCUCUGGUUUAACAACCCUACCCCUGCCUGUUGCUGAUGUGCUCCAUCCCUGCAGUUAGCCAGAGAAAUAAUGAUAAUUUACACCCAGCUCGCACACUUUUUCGGCAUUUCUGCGAGCAAUCCAGAGGCGACAGGAACAAAUUGAUGGAGACAGGAAUGGGAGAAUCCCACCCUGUCAGAAGAUGAAUGAGCUGAGCUUGCAUGAUGUGAACCAUGGCUGACAGAAGCGAGGGGGAAUCAAAGAGUGAGCAACUUUUGACAACACACGCUUCACAGCUCUGACCACUGAGGAUCUACAUGAUUAUCUCCAGACAAAAUAACUGCUACAGCAAAGACACACGUUCCAAGCAGCCAGCCCAAGGUUAGCAAGCACUGAGUGAGCACAGCCCUUCAGAACCAGAGACCUUCACCUUGAUGCCUCCCAGGUCCUCAGGCUGAUACUUUGAUGGGAUAGAGACUCAAGUUCAAAUGGACAUUCUAGCCUUUCCUGUAGCUAAUAAUGGAAAACAAAGCCCUUUCCUCAGCUAUCUCAGCUCUUAACUCGACCCUGCCCUCAGUGUAGACACAAAUCAGCUCAGAGAACCUCUGUUCUUUUAUUUAUACAGAAUUUGAGAGGAAAAAAAUCUCAUCCAGAAACAAAUUAUGUUUUCCAAAUCACACAUGUGGCCUUCAACUCUAGGGAGUAACUCUUAUCACUCUUGGGGAAUCUUAAUCAGUUCUUCCUUUACCUCUGUCUGCUGGAACAAGACUUUUAGGAAAGGUAAAUUCCCAUUUCUCUUGAGAAGGGAGGCUAUAAACUCCAGCCAUCUUCUCCAGGAGAGGUUCAUAAGUUCCCAUCAGGUAAUCAAAAUAUCCCACAAAACAUAACAUAGGGUGUUUCAUGCAGAAAUUAGGGACUUAUAUACCUUUCCCAUAUCCCAAUUUCCCUUGGUGUCAUUAUUUCUUGUUAUAGAUAAAGUCACAUCACCAAUUUUGACCUUUUUAUAGUAUUUUUGUUUUACCAGUCUUAUGCAGAUUGGCACUUUUUCCUUUCAAACUUUUUCCUUUCCAUCGUGCAUGCCACUUUUCCCAAAAUUCCUUAUUCUCAGGGUAAAUUUGAGACUGGAACCUCUGACUCCUGUGCACUGUGAUUAUCUAUGGGAAAAGUAAAACUGAGCCAGCUCUAGGGAGAUCUUUUCCUUUGGAUCUCUGCAGGGACCCAAGGGUAUUGCUCCUUUGAUACUAUUUUUUUUUUUUAAGGAAUCCUCAAGCCUGUCUGUGUGCAGUGGAAAGUUUAUUGUGAUAUGACCAUGUGGUAAUAAUAUAUCAAAGUCCAGCAUUAAAAUAUUUCUAAAACAUGAAAAAUGGGCUGUUCAUAAUGUUAAAGAAGGACAAGCAAAUUUGCUGACAAUGUGGGUAAUUUCCUGAAAUCAGAGUUCAUCUUGUAGCAAGCCCAUGUUCUGUGGACAACAGAAACAAGCGGCGCAUAAAUCACUCACUCAACACGCACAAUCUCCUCUGUCCUGCUAAUCACACGGGUUUGGGAUCACAGCAAAGCACACUGUGACUCUUUCAAUACCCAUGGAAAACAAUGGAAAGGCUCCCGUUGACAUGGAUAUCAAAGGAUGACUAUUUCAUCUGGCUGUAACACCACCAAGGUCUUAGAACAAGACCUGCAGAGAGUUUUUUAUCCAAAAAAACCCCAAAAAUGAAGCUACUUUUAAUCUUUACAAUGAAUACACGCAUAUAAGAAAGUCACAAAGCAUAAAAGAUGGAUUUAUCCAUUUUCCACACCUGGAAAAUGGAUUGUGGAAAGUUUCUCCUAAUUUAAUCAAUAGUCUUAAAUGUAUGGUCAAAUAUUCUGAUUUUUUUAGACAUCUGUAUAUUAGUUUAACUGUUGGAGCAUAAACACUCCCAAUAACUUUGAGAACAUACAUAUUAAAACUACGACCACAUCUGCAUUCUAAUGCAGUAAUAUUUUAUAAAUCAUUGUGAGGGUAUUAUAUUUUGAAGGACAUUAAAACUCAUUGCACUCCUUGGGUUUUUACAAUUUCACGGUUUCUAAAGUAGCAACUUUAUUUUACUCUUUAUAAGAAAUUAAAAAAACAUCAUAUAAAUGUAGUUCCAUUUUCUAGUUUGGGACACAUCCUGCUCUGAAAUAUUUUACAACUUAAACACUUCUUUUCAGCAAGACAAGAAAAUUUUGGGGGCAUGUCCAUGUCUCACAAUCUGAUACUGCAUUACUAGAAGAGAAAGAUCCCUUUAGUACAGGGAAAGUAAGACUGGGUAGCAAAUAAAUUAGGUACAGACAUGAGAUAAUGGAAAGCACAGUAAUCAGAAGACAUGUUUUAUUAUUACAGGUGGAGAUAAUGUCAGGGAAAAAAGUGUGGGAGAAUGCCUUGGGCUUGUUUUAAGACCAACAUAAAAAUGCAAUACCUAUAUGUUUGCUUUAGCAUCUUUUUUUUAAAGUAAGGUUUAUUUUUGCCCUGUAUUUAUUUACUCUUCAGAUGUAAAAACACGCUCAUUGAAAUAUUUAAACGUGCCAAAUACUUGGGAUUUAACAUGACCGUGUCUGAAUGCGAGGUCAUUGUUUUGCUUACAGCAAAAAUUUCCUACAGUCACAUAAAAACUUCCCCUUCCAUAACUUUCAGUGGGGUCACUAAGAAAUUCUUCUGCUGACCUACAGCAGGUUUCUAGAUUUUUAUUAUCUUUUAGAAAAUAGGUAAAAAGUUCAGUAAGAACUUUGGUCCACUCUAAAGUCUUUCUUUAUAUGACCAUGAUUAUUGUCCUGACCCAUCAAAUAGCCUUGCAGAUAUUUUUUAGGUUCUACAUCUCAAAUUGCACGAGAAAAUUGUAUUUAUAAUCCUCUGCAAUUCCCCUAAUUUCAGAAAGAAGUAAGAAUGGAAAGAUACGCAAAUGCACAAAAUUUGUUUUGAGGAUUUCAUGAUCGUUUACCUGAUGUUAACCAAUAUUAAUAAAGAUCUAAAGUACAUACAACACAAAUAAGAGUAAUUAUAUAAAUUAGGCAGCUUUUCUCUUGAAUUUUUAAACUCAAACUUGGAAUAAGAGUAAUGCCCCAUAAAUACCACUGUUUUAAUCAGCAAAGUCUUGCUAAUGACCAUAUUAGGAACAAGACGUUUAAAUAUUGGUUAAAUUUUCACCUAUAUUCUGCAAGAAAUUGUCCAUUUUAUGACAGCAAAGUUAGAAAGCCCAUUAUUGCCAUGAGAAAAAUGUUUUUAAAGAGUUGAGAGAAAAAGGAAAAUGAAAUGUGAAUAUUAACCACACGCCCCAAUUUCUCCACCCACCAUCCAGUCAUUUAUAGGCAGUUCAUAGAAGGUCUACUGGAUUUGCUAUCACACAGUGACAGAACAAAAUAUUUCAGUACUUUGCAAACUUGAAAUUUUGUAAGUGAAAACUGUAAGGUCUUUGAAAUGUUGGUAUCCAAUACAACUUCUACAAAUUUAUCCUUCUAAUUAGCAUAUGCUCUUAAAAUAGUUUCUGAGAACAUCUUUCACCACAUUUCUUUUUAAAAAAUAUUAUUUUUUUUAAUAAUCACAAAAUCAUAUGAUACUUCUUUUUUAAUAACAUUUUAAAAGUGAACUCAAGGAGUGUAAAUGCUGUUGGAACAUUUUUUUAUUCAAUUGUUUAAAUGAAUACCUGUGUUACCUUUUUUUUGUUUGUUUUAGCAAAGGUGCCUGAAAAUACUGGAGCCAGAUCUGGUUCAGGUAAUCACAAGUGCUUUUGUUCAUUUCAAGUAAGAAUUAUACCAUAUGCCAUGCUUGAAAUUAGAAAUUAAUCAUCAUCCACCACGCAGACAGUUUUGAUAAAAUUCCCUUUUCCAACUAAAACAGUCAUACAGCGUUUGCAGCUUCACUGAAACUCCGUGUUCCUUCAGUACAAGAAAGAAAAAAGAACAGAAUAAAAGCUGAUUCCAUUCAAAAAGGAUUGCAACAAAACUUUUCCAUACUUGUACCAUCUACCAAGAUAGCACUUGGACAAAUGUUGGGAAAAAAUUACUUAAGAACCUUGUGCACUUGAGCUGCACCACAGUUUUACUCACAAUUCUUUAUCAACACCUAAUUUCUAAAAGCAUCUUUAUGCACAAGAAAAGAGUUCAGAUGUAAUGAAUUAAUCACCCACUGGGACUUUUUAAUAGAUAGGUUAUUCUACACAAGCUUAUCUAACCAGGCUAGAAACAAAAACUGUAUUUGUGUGCUCUAAAUCAUCACCUAACAUUUGGGGAC